rnacentral:lncRNA from 1 species
CUUUCUAACUCCUCUUCCUCUGCCUAUCUCUUCCAUGCUGUCAUUUCCAAAGCUCUUCCUCUACUCUUUUCUCACUCUAGCCUAUUGUACCUAUCCAGUGGGUUUGCCUAUCACCCACAGAUUAAUGCUUCCUUCACUGACAUUUGUGAUCACUGUAGCUGUUCAGCAUCUUCCUUUACUGCAUUGGUACAUUUCCCAUGGUCAUCCCUCCUGGAUUCGGAAAGGGCCAGAUACUAGUUUUACCUAGCCCCACUAACAGCUGGGGUGCUAGCCCAUGACCCAGACUUCUCCAGAUUUACCCGCCUGAGGCAGGGCCUCCUCAAGCUGAUGCCACAAGGAAGCAAAGAAGUUGAAGAAUCUGUCCUGGGGGACCACAGCAGUACUGUAGCAGGACUCCCAAGUUCUUCAGCUUUGGGACUCGGACUGGUUUCCUUGCUCCUCAGCUUGCAGACAACCUAUUGGACCUUGUGAUCGGCAUUCUCCAUCCCCAGACAAAGCACGGUAUGAAUCCUAUGCAGAUGUGCAGGAAGGCAGGGAAAAGCAAAGAUCAGCUGGUAGCAACGUGGUUUUGUCCAUUCAAUCCUUCUCUCAAUAAAUACCCAUUCCAAAAGAAGCAGAGCGCUCCAAUAAAAAUUGUGUUUUGAAGAUUGUAAACAGCAACAUGAAAAAAGUGCUGCCGUUGCCGUGACAAGUAAACAAAAGGAAACAAAGCUGCUGUGUGCAACAAGAUUACAACUAAAAAAAAUAUACAAAGGAAAAUGAGAAGGCAAAUACCAAAAUAUUAACAGCAACGUUAGGAUGAGUAGAAUAUCAGACACUUUCCUUUUGCCUGACUCUCCAAAAUGGUUCUGAACCUGUGAGAAUAUUAAA